CUGCCGAAAAUACUGUAGAACUAGGGAGUGGGAGAGGUAGACGGUAUUCGGUAGGAAGGGGUAAAAUCCUUUGAUCUAUUGAGGACCACCUGUGGCGAAGGCGGUCUACCAGAACACGUUCGACGGUGAGGGAUGAAAGCUGGGGGAGCAAACCGGAUUAGAUACCCGGGUAGUCCCAGCCGUAAACGAUGCAGACUCGGUGAUGCGCUGGCUUGUGGCCAGUGCAGUGCCGCAGGGAAGCCGUUAAGUUUGCCGCCUGGGAAGUACGUACGCAAGUAUGAAACUUAAAGGAAUUGGCGGGGGAGCACCACAAGGGGUGAAGCCUGCGGUUCAAUUGGAGUCAACGCCAGAAAUCUUACCCGAAGAGACAGCAGAAUGAAGGUCAAGCUGGAGACUUUACCAGACAAGCUGAGAAGUGGUGCAUGGCCGUCGCCAGCUCGUGCCGUGAGAUGUCCUGUUAAGUCAGGUAACGAGCGAGAUCCCUGCCUCUAGUUGCCACCAUUACUCUCAGGAGUAGUGGGGCGAAUUAGCGGGACCGCCGCAGUUAAUGCGGAGGAAGGAAGGGGCCACGGCA
rnacentral:rRNA from 1 species